rnacentral:lncRNA from 1 species
GAUAAUGAAGAGAGAAAGGCGCGAAUGUUUUUAAGAGGUUUGAAGCCGGAGAUACGUCAACAUCUUAUUUCUCAUAAACUGUGUUUGUAUUCAGAUGUUGUAAAUAGGGCUCAGUUAGUGGAGCGCGAUAACGAGUCAACGCAACUAAAAGAGAGCAGCCGGCAAAAUUAUAAUACCAGCGAGAGUAGUCAUCGAAGCGGUGACAACAAGCGUGGAGGGAAUCAACAGGCCAGAAAUGGUAACCACUUCGGUGGUAAUCAGGGCCAAAACAAUAAGAAUGGACAUUUCAAGAAAAGGAGAUUCAACAAUG